CAAAGAUGGCGGCUGCACAGGGUCGGCGGAGCGGGCAGAAUUGGCGGCUCUGAGUGACGCGGAAGGCAGGCGAUCGUUACACAGCUACCGAGGGAGCCCGAUAGCGCAGUGUGUGAGGAGCUCGGUGCCGGCCGGUGAGGGGCGAGGCGGCCCCCGGGGCGGAGGGCACGGUGACAGCCCGCGGUGUCCUUGAAGAAGGCGGCUAGAGGAGGAAGCGGAGACACGGAGGACGAGCCGGAGGGGAAGCGGAGGCCUCGCGGCUCACGGUCCAGGGCCAUGUUCUCGGUGCUGUCCUACGGCCGGAUAGUGGCCCGCGCGGUGCUGGGGGGGCUCUCACAGACCGACUCCCGGGACUACAGCCUGGUCACCGCCAGCUGCGGCUUCGGCAAGGAUGCGAGGAAGGGCAUCCUCAAGAAAGGCAUGUGCUACGGGGACGACGCCUGCUUCAUCGCCCGGCACCGCACGGCGGACGUACUCGGUG